rnacentral:rRNA from 1 species
GACGAACGCUGGCGGCGUGCUUAACACAUGCAAGUCGAGCGGUAAGGCCCUUUCGGGGGUACACGAGCGGCGAACGGGUGAGUAACACGUGGGUGACCUGCCCUCAGCUCUGGGAUAAGCCUGGGAAACUGGGUCUAAUACUGGAUAUGACUCCACGGUGCAUGUCGUGGGGUGGAAAGCCUUGUGCGGCUGAGGAUGGGCCCGCGGCCUAUCAGCUUGUCGGUGGGGUGAUGGCCUACCAAGGCGACGACGGGUAGCCGGCCUGAGAGGGCGACCGGCCACACUGGGACUGAGACACGGCCCAGACUCCUA